GUUUCCUACGGGGCGCAGCAGUGGGGGAUAUUGCACAAUGGGGGGAACCCUGAUGCAGCGACGCCGCGUGGGUGAAGAAGCGCCUCGGCGCGUAAAGCCCUGUCAGCAGGGAAGAAAAUGACGGUACCUGAAGAAGAAGCCCCGGCUAACUACGUGCCAGCAGCCGCGGUAAUACGUAGGGGGCAAGCGUUAUCCGGAUUUACUGGGUGUAAAGGGCGCGUAGGCGGGAUGGCAAGUCAGAUGUGAAAUCCAGGGGCUCAACCCCUGAACUGCAUUUGAAACUGUCGUUCUUGAGUACUGGAGAG
rnacentral:rRNA from 1 species